rnacentral:rRNA from 1 species
GACGAACGCUGGCGGCGUGCUUAACACAUGCAAGUCGAACGGAAAGGCCCUGCUUUUGUGGGGUGCUCGAGUGGCGAACGGGUGAGUAACACGUGAGUAACCUGCCCUUGACUUUGGGAUAACUUCAGGAAACUGGGGCUAAUACCGGAUAGGAGCUCCUGCUGCAUGGUGGGGGUUGGAAAGUUUCGGCGGUUGGGGAUGGACUCGCGGCUUAUCAGCUUGUUGGUGGGGUAGUGGCUUACCAAGGCUUUGACGGGUAGCCGGCCUGAGAGGGUGACCGGCCACAUUGGGACUGAGAUACGGCCCAGACUCCUACGGGAGGCAGCAGUGGGGAAUAUUGCACAAUGGGCGGAAGCCUGAUGCAGCAACGCCGCGUGCGGGAUGACGGCCUUCGGGUUGUAAACCGCUUUCGCCUAUGGCGAAGCGUGAGUGACGGUAAUGGGUAAAGAAGCACCGGCUAACUACGUG